GUCGCGCAUGCGCUGUGGGGCCGUAUGGGAUCAUCUUCCGUUCCCCAGCUCGCUUGGGGCUGUGGGAUCGCGAGUUCAGUUGAGGCGUCUCAAAUGGACGUCGUUUACAUCUCUUCGGCCCCCCCGCCACGCCCACUGCUGUCAGCAUGAAACUGCCCCCACCCAUCCUGUGUUUUCAUGUGUUUCCUACGUCCCCGGCUUCCUUUUCCUACCCUGGCGAUUCCAUAGCCCCGCCUGACGUCAUCGGGAUGCCAACUGCGCUGCGUCCCUUUCCCGCCCUCUCUGCGUCGCCUCACAGGACGACGAGAGGGGCUGCGUUUGACUGCGCCAGAUCCACGCAAAGGAAUGUGCAGAUUACGUGUUUUAACACCCCCGGCCCUAAAGCCUCAGAUUUUUCCAAACCACUUCAUUCACUGAUCUCUGAAGGGGCUUAGCUUCUGGGGAAACGUGAGCCCAUGAUGUGCCUGCACACGUUAUGCGUCAACCUUGAUGCAAAUUCUAACUACAAAACAGAAAGGAGAUGCCCGCGCUUGUGCUCACACUCCUGAAUCUGCCCCCACAGGGAUUAUAAUCCCCUGAACCCAGUAUCCCGAGUUGGAUCUUUGCUUCAGACAGACAGUCUACCCUCUAAAUGUCAACUGACCAGUACUCCCCCCCCCCGGGGGUACUCAAGGAUACACAGUACCGGCACCUUUCUUUCCAAAAUGUUAAAAGUGUGGCAUUUAACUGUAACAACUUCAUGCAGUGCUGUGCCCAUUUUGGGUCUGGGGAGUCACUGUCUUGUCUCCUGCUAUAAAAACAAGCAAGCAGAGGCUCUUACCUGUAAGAAAGAAAGAGACCUUUAUUCAUGGAAUGAACUGUAUAGGCUCAGCAGCAGACAGAGUGCUGAGGGGUCAUGAUUCAGGACUUCAGGAGCAGGGCAAGAAGUUUAGAACUGGACGGAAUCAAUGAAUAUGUCCCAACAAGUUUCCAUGCCGCAUCUGCCAAGCUUUUAAAGAUGAGAUCUGUGCUACUUUUAAGAACAUAAUUUGUCAGCUUAGAAUACAAAGUAUUGAUCAAAGGACAACUGGCAACUCUUUUAUACAGUGAAACAGAAAUCCAAGCAUCAGAACUCUGCAUCAGCAACUGAAGCUGAAGGAACAAUACAUGGAGUUCCCACGUGGUCACUGAAACUGGCCAGAUGAAGACCUCCUUCUCAAUGGUGUUGCUGCAACCUGUAGAUCAGAGAUGGGGAACCUGCGGUUCUCCAGAUGUUGUUGUAUUACAGUUCCCAUCAGCCCCAGCCAGCAUGGCCACUGGUCUUACUAUUUUACAAAUGCGGAACACCUGAUGAGGGUUUGUAUUUCUGAAAGGGAAGCCGGUGGAAAUGGGCUGGCGGGGUGAGAGGGGAAUGUUGCUUAUGAUUGCUAAA